AUGAAGCUUGCGGGGCUCAAGUCGGUGGACGGAGCUCACGAGGACUCGAUCUGGGCGGCCGCGUGGGUGCCCGCUGCUGACCACCGCCCCACGGCGCUGCUCCUCACCGGCUCCAUCGACGAGACCGUCCGCGCCUGGCAACCCGACGACCUCGCCGCCGCGUCCCCCCCGGCGGGAGGGCACGCGCUCGGAGUGAUAUCCCUCGCGGCGCAUCCUGCCGGGGUCAUAGCCGCCGCGGUCUCCAUCGACAGCCACGUCCGCGUCUUCGACGUCGACUCCGGCGCAUCCGUCGCCACGCUCGAUGCCGCGCCCUCCGAGGUCUGGGGCGUCCAGUUCCACCCCAAGGGUGUUGCUCUGGCUGCAGCUGGUGGUGGCAGUGGAUCAGUAAAACUCUGGGACACGGAGAAGUGGCAACCUAUUGCCAGCCUUCCUGUUCCGCGUCCAGAGGGAGCCCGCGCUGAUAAAACAGGCAGCGGCAAGUUUGUUCUUUCAGUGGCCUGGAGUCCAGAUGGCAAGCUCUUAGCAUGUGGAUCCAUGGAUGGCACGAUUGCGGUGUAUGAUGCGGUCCGCAUGAAGUUCCUCCACCACCUGGAGGGGCACCACAUGCCAGUGAGGUCCAUGGUGUUCUCGCCGGUGGACCCCCACGUGCUCUUGACCGGAUGUGACGACUCCCACAUCCACAUCUACGAUGCCAAGGAGAAGGGCCUGAUCGGGGCCAUGUCGGGUCAUGCGAGCUGGGUGCUGAGCAUCGACGUGAGCCCGGAUGGCAUGGCGGUGGCGACAGGCUCCAGCGACCGCACCGUCCGGCUCUGGGACAUCAAUGCGAGGGCGUCAGUUCAGACCAUGAGCAACCACUCAGACCAGGUCUGGGCCGUUGCAUUCCGGCCGCCGGGAGGGGAAGGAGUCCGUGCUGGCCGGCUCGCCAGCGCUUCGGAUGACAAGAGCAUCUCCCUGUACGAUUACUCCUAG
rnacentral:rRNA from 1 species